rnacentral:rRNA from 1 species
UACGUAGGGUGCAAGCGUUAAUCGGAAUUACUGGGCGUAAAGCGUGCGCAGGCGGUUUUGUAAGUUUGUCGUGAAAGCCCCGGGCUCAACCUGGGAAUUGCGAUGAAGACUGCAAGGCUUGAAUCUGGCAGAGGGGGGUAGAAUUCCACGUGUAGCAGUGAAAUGCGUAGAGAUGUGGAGGAACACCGGAUGGCGAAGGCAGCCCCCUGGGUCAAGAUUGACGCUCAUGCACGAAAGCGUGGGGAGCAAACAUGG